rnacentral:rRNA from 1 species
AUCUAUACUGUGAAACUGCGAAUGGCUCAUUAAAUCAGUUAUCGUUUAUUUGAUAGUACCUUACUACUUGGAUAACCGUGGUAAUUCUAGAGCUAAUACAUGCUAAAAACCCCAACUUCGGAAGGGGUGUAUUUAUUAGAUAAAAAACCAAUGCCCUUCGGGGCUCCUUGGUGAUUCAUGAUAACUUAACGAAUCGCAUGGCCUUGCGCCGGCGAUGGUUCAUUCAAAUUUCUGCCCUAUCAACUUUCGAUGGUAGGAUAGUGGCCUACCAUGGUAUCAACGGGUAACGGGGAAUUAGGGUUCUAUUCCGGAGAGGGAGCCUGAGAAACGGCUACCACAUCCAAGGAAGGCAGCAGGCGCGCAAAUUACCCAAUCCCGACACGGGGAGGUAGUGACAAUAAAUACUGAUACAGGGCUCUUUUGGGUCUUGUAAUUGGAAUGAGUACAAUUUAAAUACCUUAACGAGGAACAAUUGGAGGGCAAGUCUGGUGCCAGCAGCCGCGGUAAUUCCAGCUCCAAUAGCGUAUAUUAAAGUUGUUGCAGUUAAAAAGCUCGUAGUUGAACCUUGGGCCUGGCUGGCCGGUCCGCCUCACCGCGUGUACUGGUCCGGCCGGGCCUUUCCUCCUGGGGAUCCGCAUGCCCUUCACUGGGUGUGUCGGGGAACCAGGACUUUUACUUUGAAAAAAUUAGAGUGUUCAAAGCAGGCCUUUGCUCGAAUACAUUAGCAUGGAAUAAUAGAAUAGGACGUGCGGUCCUAUUUUGUUGGUUUCUAGGACCGCCGUAAUGAUUAAUAGGGAUAGUCGGGGGCAUCAGUAUUCAAUUGUCAGAGGUGAAAUUCUUGGAUUUAUUGAAGACUAACUACUGCGAAAGCAUUUGCCAAGGAUGUUUUCAUUAAUCAGUGAACGAAAGUUAGGGGAUCGAAGACGAUCAGAUACCGUCGUAGUCUUAACCGUAAACUAUGCCGACUAGGGAUCGGGCGAUGUUAUUAUUUUGACUCGCUCGGCACCUUACGAGAAAUCAAAGUCU